rnacentral:rRNA from 1 species
CACGACUACAUUAGAUACCCCCGUAGUCCCAGCCCUAAACGAUGCGCGUUAGGUGUAUCGGUGACCACGAGUCACCGAGGUGCCGAAGGGAAACCGUGAAACGUGCCGCCUGGGAAGUACGGUCGCAAGGCUGAAACUUAAAGGAAUUGGCGGGGGAGCACCACAACGGGUGGAGCCUACGGUUUAAUUGGACUCAACGCCGGGAAGCUCACCGGAUAAGACAGCGGAAUGAUUGCCGGGCUGAAGACCCUGCAUGACCAGCUG